AUUGAACGCUGGCGGCAGGCCUAACACAUGCAAGUCGAGCGGAUGAAGGGAGCUUGCUCCUGGAUUCAGCGGCGGACGGGUGAGUAAUGCCUAGGAAUCUGCCUGGUAGUGGGGGAUAACGUCCGGAAACGGGCGCUAUUACCGCACACGUUCUGAGGGAGAACGUGGGGGAUCUUCGGACCACACGCUUUCAGAUGAGCCUAGGUCGGAUUGGCUGGUUGGGGGGUAAAGGCCUAACAAGGCGACGAUCCGUAACUGGUCUGAGAGGAUGAACAGUCACACUGGAACUGAGACACGGUCCCGACUCCUGCGGGAGGCAGCAGUGGGGAAUAUUGGACGAUGGGCGAAAGCCUGAUCCAGCCAUGCCGCGUGUGUGAAGAAGGUCUUCGGAUUGGAAAGCACUUUAAGUUGGGAGGAAGGGAAGUAAGUUAAUACCUUGCUGUUUUGACGGUACCAACAGAAUAAGCACCGGCUAACUUCGUG
rnacentral:rRNA from 1 species